UGAAUCUAAAACUCUAACUUAAAACAACUCUCAGCAACGGAUAUCUUGGCUCUUGCAACGAUGAAGAACGCACCGAAAUGCGAUACGUAGUGUGAAUUGCAGAAUUCCGCGAAUCAUCGAGUUUUUGAACGCAAGUUGCGCCCGAGGCUUGUCCGAGGG
rnacentral:rRNA from 1 species